UGGAAGUGUUUACUCGGGCGAAAGAGCGAGUCAUUGGCCAGGCCACUCCCCCCUGGCUGGACACGCCGGCCGACCUCGGGGUCCCCCGGGACUGCGACUGUCCCUGAAGCUGCCCCAAGCGUCUUCCGAGUCCUAGAACUCAGGGAUGUGCUAAGGCCACUACCCUCUCCUCCGACCCUUUUAAUUCGGGCAGAAGAGGGCUACUGAGAAUCAAGACCCAAACUUUGUUUGACACAGUAAAACUGACUUUCCAGGGCUUUUUAAAACUCGUCUUGCGCACGCGGUUAAUGGUGGGUUCCUGAGGACGCCUCCGGGGAGCAGGGCUGGACCGGCCGGGCCGCGAGUGGGGCGCGCAGUGGCCCCGGGGCACAGGGACAGCCCUGGUCCUCUUGGGCCGGGGUCGGGCCCAGCUCGCGCAUAACGGCCCCGGACAGUCCGGGCGCGCUGGCUCGUACUCUCGUGGGUGGCCGCGGUGGGAGGCGCGGGAGUCCCUGCGCUCGGCCGGGCUCCAUGUUCCCGACCCGCUCCGGCCCGGGGAAGCUCUGGCCGGUGGCCCGGCAGAGGGCGCCCGCUCUCGAUCGCCGCGCCGGCCGAAGGAGGGAGGGCACUCGAGUGAGGCUCCAGGUGAGGAGCUGUGAAUCAUCCCGGGAGGGGGACCCGGUCCUCGUUCUGGGAAAGCAGCCAGGGAGUGGCCGCGGCGCUGUCGAGAGUCCGGGCUGCCCAGCGGCUGUUGGGCCGGGAGCGGCAGCUGUGCCCCGGGAAGUCUGGGGGAAGCUCGGAAAGAAGGAGGAUGUUGGCUCUGAUUCCCCUAGACGUCUGAGUGCUGCAGGAAGGUGGAACAUGUCUGCUUGUGCUGUUGGAUUCUAGCUACAUCAGAAACUGGUCAUUUUCUAAAACUAAAGGAGAAAACUAGGAAGGGGUGAUGAAUUCUUUCUGAGUUUCAAGUUACAAAAUAAAACGUAAGUAUUGAUGAUUUCA
rnacentral:lncRNA from 1 species